rnacentral:lncRNA from 10 species
CUUUUUGUUCCACAUCAGGGAAUUCACAGGGUAUCCAUUAGAAACCAUAUCACAUUUACAAGGCUCCACGGACUUCCUUAAGCCUUGAUGCUCCAACGGGUUAUACAGGCUAAGAGGUGGGGAUGAGUGCAGAUCCGAAGUGGGUGGGUGAGGAUCUCCCAGCCUCUCAGCCCUGGCACGGGGACUUGCUUUUCUCCAGGCUAUCUGGUUCUCUCUGUUUAUUCUCUGCCUGCUUUCCUUGUGUCUCUCGUUGUUUCUCUCUAAAUCUCCAUCUUUCCCUCUCUGUCCCUCUCCCCCUCCCUCCUUUCCUCUCUGUCUUUGUAACUCUCCCUCAAUUUUACUCAUUUUAGUGGUUCACUCUUUGGAUCUAGGACCUUGGUCAGCAUGAGCAUUGCACUCACAGAGAGGGUGACACGUUUCCUGAUGCCUGAAAGAGAGAAAUAAGAUGGCCCAGGAGACUCCAGGGCACUCUGCCCACUAAGCAUCUUUUUGGUCCUCCCCCUGCCAGAUUGAAAGAUGACAGACUGAGGACAAGCCCUAAGGGGACAGAGAGUCUAAGGCUCCAUGUUCCAACUCUGCAAGCCCCACCUCAGCUCAACUCAACACCUUAGACCUUCAGCUCACAGUUCUCUACAGGACACUUGUGAAAACUUGGAAAAUAUUAAUUGCUUAACAGUCCGCUUGCAAGUUGAACAGGCAGAUAAGGAGGAAAAGCCUUUCUUCUUUGACAAGCUUUCCAUGAAACAUAACCCCAGAACACGAGUGCCCAGAUGUAUACAUUCCAGGCAUGAAAAUGAAGGAUAAUUCUCCAAAAAGACUGACUGGCCCUUGGGACAAGAUCCACAGAGACUUCAUCUGAAACGUUCUUCAUCAAUCAAGAUCAUUUUUACUCAACACAACUUGUCACUCAAGUUUAAUGACCUUCACUACCAGAAGCCCAGAGUUCUAGAGUUAACUGCAUCCUACUUGACCCUGGUGUGGUAUUGGCCAACAAAGAGGCAGCAGGACAAAGAACACACAAUGGAGCUUGGGGCUCAACAACCUGGGAUCUGGGGCCAGACUCCACUUUGAAACUUUGGGUUUGCUCAUUACACACAGUGUCGGCAGCUGGUGAGUGUCUUUUGCAAUUCAUCAGAGGCCUCCAAGACCACCUGCUCUCGGCAUCCUGCAAACAGCUGGCUCUGGGAAAAGCCACAGGGAGGCUUUGUGGAGCUUGAGCUAAGGCCACCAGAUGUCCCAGGAUUAAGAAGCCAAUCCCAGUUUCCAAGAACCUUGCUAUUAAGAACCCAGCUCUUCUGUGAGGCUGAGGAGCAGUAGCAUCAGCAUCGACUGAGGGACUUGUCAGAAAUACAGACUCCCAGAAUCAGAAUCUACAUUUUAACAUUUCCGAUCCCCAGGUGACUUGUUUGCACAUUAAAGGUUGACAAGCUUCUUACCCUCUUCUGUGCCCUUGAUUCUUUUAGGUCAAAUAUAUCUGGUGUAGAUUGCUACCACC